UAAAUGGUCAUCUCCAUCUUGGUUCCCUACAUAAAUAAAGCACAAGGAUCAAGUUUUUAUUUUUCACGGUUACAUGCUACACUACAAAAAAAGUCUUCAUUGAUAGCAGAUUGUUAUAACACGUUUUACUAAACUGCUAUUGUAGAUUAGUUAAAAAUUUCCGAAUUAUAUAAUAGCCUUAGAAAAACGCUAUGAUAGACUGAAACCUAAAAUAGCACUUAAUUAAUGCUAUUUUAAAAAUUAAGUGAGCGGGAGGAUAAACCAUUGAUUCCGCCAAUAGUUACCGGGAAAUUGACUUAAGCGCCAAAGAUAAUAUUUAAGCGGUUUUAGUAAUGCGAUCGAAGACAUAUAAUAGCAUUUUUCUAACGUUAAGAAAAACUAAUUGGACCCUAAACCUAAACAUGAUUCUAAACCCUAAAAUCUAAAGACAACCCUUAAAACUCUAAUCUUAUCAUAUUAUAACUUCAAAUCUUAAAAAUUAAACUCAAAAUUUAAUCUUCUUAAUCUCAAACUAUCAUUUCCUAAAUAAAUCUAUAAUCAAACCCGAAAUCAUACCUGGAAUGAAGUGGGUAAGUUGAAACCCUAAACCUACUUUUAAACCUUAGAGGCCUAAAUUCUUAACAUAAACUUUAAACUCGAAUGUUUUCAUACUAUAAUCUCAAAUCUUAAAUUUAAACUCAAAAUUUAAUAUUCUCAAUCUUAGUCUAUAGCUUCCAAAACAAAAUAAUUUAAAUUUUCAAUCAAACUCUAUACUCUAAACUCUAAUUUCAAACAUAAACUUUACAUCCACUAAAAAUAAACUUCAAAUCUAAAUUCUUAAAAUUAAAACACAGAUCUAAAACAUAAUAUUUCAAUCUAAUACUUUUCAAAUUUUAAUCCAAAAUCUUAAUUCUAAACCCUAUAUCUCAUACUCCAAACUUAUAUCUUAAACACUAAUCUUUAAAUGAAUCUAACUAAAUUCAUAAUAGCUUUUAAUUAUAUAAAUUAAAUCAUACCUACAAAAUAUAUAAGCAUUCAUUAAGAUUUAAAAACUUGAAUCAUAAUCAUUUAAAAUCAUUAAUUUAAUUCAUAUGAUUUAAACUGCAAAUUUAAAAACCCGUGUCGUUAAGCCUUCUACGACAAAAAAUAAUAAGGGAAAUCUAACUUCUUUUGAUCCUUGUUUUCUAUUGGCGAGAUAACGAUGGUGUGGAUCACUAAUUUUAACCAUCGAUUAUAUUUUAAUCAAUGACCAGAUUGAUUCUUGGUCUAUUUGUUUCUCUCGAUCUUACGCGACUUUUGCUUUCUUCUUCAAUCGUUCAUUUCUCUCACACACAACACAGAUUCAUCAAUCAAGCUGUCCGCCUUCUGAUUGUGCGACAGAGACCAAGCGAAGUGGUGGAACAGAGAGAGGAGAUAGAGCUCGGAGAUGCAGAGAAAGAAGAAGAUGCGACGGUCGGUCUCGAACUCGCCCUCAUGGUCACCGGUCUCUAGCUCGUUCCCGUCUCACCAGCACCACCACCGACGCGCUCGUCACCACCACUACUCCCUUCGAUUCCGUCGCACUCUUCACCACCACCA
rnacentral:lncRNA from 1 species